rnacentral:lncRNA from 1 species
AGUUUAUAAAUUGUUAAUUCCAUAUAUUUCUGGCUCCAUAUAAGCUGUAUGUCUAUAUCAGUUAAUAAAUAUCCCCCGAACCUCAGCUUCUUACCUCACAGAUCCGGUCUAAGACGACACGUUUAAAAUGACUAGCAUCAUAGCGGCCCAAGGGUCCGAGCUCAAUGCAUGUGACCCUCGCAUGAUGACUAAAAGAUGUUUCUCUACUUUCAGAAUACGCUUGCUAAACGUUAAAAUGAAGAUGAAAAUGACCAUGUUAAACAAUAAUUUUAAAAAAGAGCCCUGAGUUUUUGGAGAGAACAUAAUACUUUGGUUCUAGCAGCCAUUUUUAGAGCAUACUUUUGAAAAUGAAGUUUUUCUUUUGUAUAUGUACUUAAUAUGAAAUGUAUAUAUAUCCCAUUACGAAACAAAGAUAUCGUGUAUUGAGUAGUCUGAACAAUUACAUUGGGCACAAAUGGAAAAUAUAAAAAUCUGUAUCUUUACUGGUCAAAAGGCAAGAUAAAAACCUUAUGUUAAAUUCACCACAUUAUACUUAUAAAUUUGCAUUCAUGUUUACCUUACAUGUCCUGGUGAUGGGUGUGAA